rnacentral:rRNA from 1 species
UACGGGGGGGGGCAAGCGUUGUUCGGAAUUACUGGGCGUAAAGGGCUCGUAGGCGGCCAACUAAGUCGGAUGUGAAAUCCCCAAGCUUAACUUGGGAACUGCAUCCGAUACUGGAUGGCUUGAAUCCGGGAGAGGGAUGCAGAAUUCCAGGUGUAGCGGUGAAAUGCGUAGAUAUCUGGAGGAAUACCGGUGGCGAAGGCGGCAUCCUGGACCGGCAUUGACGCUGAGGAGCGAAAGCUAGGGGAGCAAACGGGG